rnacentral:rRNA from 1 species
UACGUAGGGGGCAAGCGUUGUCCGGAAUCAUUGGGCGUAAAGAGCGCGUAGGCGGCCCUGUAAGUCCGCUGUGAAAGUCAAGGGCUCAACCCUUGAAUGCCGGUGGAUACUGCAGGGCUAGAGUCCGGAAGAGGCGAGUGGAAUUCCUGGUGUAGCGGUGAAAUGCGCAGAUAUCAGGAGGAACACCGAUGGCGAAGGCAGCUCGCUGGGACGGUACUGACGCUGAGGCACGAAAGCGUGGGGAGCGAGCAGG